GGGGGGAUCGCUUCCAGCUGGGAGGUUCGGCCCUGGGGCUCUCUCGCAGGCCCGGAGCUUCCCCUGAUCCGCAGCGUGGUGUGCUACAGAAUAGCGGCGCUGUGACUUUUAAUUCCACAUAGGCUUAGGAAAUGCCCAUGGAGAUCCCCACAAGCCGCCUGGGCGCGGCCCUAGGCACCAGUGGUGGCCCUGAUGGGGCAGUGUGGGAUCAAAGGGGCGCGGAGCUCCCAGAGAGAGCUGUUCGGACUGCGUCUGAAUUGUGCACCGAAUGGGCUGCCACAGCGUGUUGAAUUUGCUGUCUGAUUUUCCAGUGAGAGGUAUCUCUUACCUCGCAGGCCAGUGCCUUGCUGCCAGUCAGUGUGUGAGCAGAAGGAGAGGAAAAGAGGGAGUGGAGAAGAAUAACUGCUUAAGCUGAUUGCUCUGUUCUCAGCUGCCAACAUACUCUAAAUAAAGCAAUUAAUAGUUA